UACGUAGGGGGCUAGCGUUGUCCGGAAUUAUUGGGCGUAAAGAGCGCGUAGGCGGCCAGGUAGGUCUGCUGUGAAAACUCGAGGCUCAACCUCGAGACGUCGGCGGAAACCAUCUGGCUAGAGUCCGGAAGAGGAGAGUGGAAUUCCUGGUGUAGCGGUGAAAUGCGCAGAUAUCAGGAAGAACACCCGUGGCGAAGGCGGCUCUCUGGGACGGUACUGACGCUGAGACGCGAAAGCGUGGGGAGCGAACAGG
rnacentral:rRNA from 1 species